GAUGAACGCUGGCGGCGUGCUUAACACAUGCAAGUCGAACGGACUGCGAGGAGCUUGCUCUUCAAAGUUAGUGGCGGACGGGUGAGUAACGCGUGGGUAACCUACCCUAUGCAGGGGGAUAACAUAUUGAAAAGUAUGCUAAUACCGCAUAAGCGCACAGCAUCACAUGAUGCAGUGUGAAAAACUCCGGUGGUAUAAGAUGGACCCGCGUCUGAUUAGCUAGUAGGUGAGGUAACGGCUCACCUAGGCGACGAUCAGUAGCCGGCCUGAGAGGGCGAUCGGCCACAUUGGGACUGAGACACGGCCCAAACUCCUACGGGUGGCAG
rnacentral:rRNA from 1 species